AAUUCGCCCUUAGAGUUUGAUCCUGGCUCAGGACGAACGCUGGCGGCGUGCCUAACACAUGCAAGUCGAGCGAUGAAAAAGAAGUAGAUCUCUUCGGAGUGACGCCUCUUUGGAUUAGCGGCGGACGGGUGAGUAACACGUGAGCAACCUGCCGUACACAUUGGGAUAGCCUCGGGAAACUGGGAUUAAUACCAAACGAAACAUAUUGAUAGCAUUAUCAAAAUGUCAAAGAUUUUUCGGUGUGGGAUGGGCCCGCGGCCUAUCAGCUUGUUGGUGGGGUAAUGGCCUACCAAGGCGGCGACGGGUAGCCGGCCUGAGAGGGUGGACGGCCACAUUGGGACUGAGACACGGCCCAGACUCCUACGGGAGGCAGCAGUGGGGAAUAUUGCACAAUGGGCGGAAGCCUGAUGCAGCGACGCCGCGUGGGGGAUGACGGCCUUCGGGUUGUAAACUCCUUUCACCAUCGACGAAGGUUUUCUGACGGUAGAUGGAGAAGAAGCACCGGCUAACUACGUGCCAGCAGCCGCGGUAAUACGUAGGGUGCGAGCGUUGUCCGGAAUUACUGGGCGAAAAGAGCUCGUAGGCGGUUUGUCGCGUCGUCUGUGAAAUUCCGGGGCUUAACCUGAGUGCUGCUUUUCAAACGGGAAGUCUAGAAGGGGAGGAAAGGAGAAGGGAAAUUCCCUAGUGGAGCGGGGGAAAUUGCGAAGAGAAUAAGGAAAAAACACCAGUGG
rnacentral:rRNA from 1 species